rnacentral:rRNA from 1 species
AUUGAACGCUGGCGGCAGGCCUAACACAUGCAAGUCGAACGAGUGGCGGACGGGUGAGUAAGGUCUGGGAAACUGCCUGAGGGAGGGGGAUAACUACUGGAAACGGUAACUAAUACCGCAUACCAUCGGAUGUGCCCAGAUGGGAGUAGCUAGUAGGUGGGGUAAAGGCUCACCUAGGCGACGAACCCUAGCUGGUCUGAGAGGAUGACCAGUAACACUGGAACUGAGACACGGUCCAGACUCUUACGGGAGGCAGCAGUGGGGAAUAUUGGACAAUGGGCGAAAGCCUGAUGCAGCCAUGCCGCGUGUAUGAAGAAGGCCUUCGGGUUGUAAAGCACUUUCAGCGGGGAGGCGUUACCCGCAGAAUAAGCACCGGCUAACUCCGUGCCAGCAGCCGCGGUAAUAC